UACGUAGGGUGCAAGCGUUAAUCGGAAUUACUGGGCGUAAAGCGUGCGCAGGCGGCUUUGCAAGACAGAUGUGAAAUCCCCGGGCUUAACCUGGGAACUGCAUUUGUGACUGCAUGGCUGGAGUGCGGCAGAGGGGGAUGGAAUUCCGCGUGUAGCAGUGAAAUGCGUAGAUAUGCGGAGGAACACCGAUGGCGAAGGCAAUCCCCGUGGGCCUGCACUGGACGCUCAUGCACGAAAGCGUGGGGAGCAAACAGGA
rnacentral:rRNA from 1 species